rnacentral:lncRNA from 1 species
UGGUCUCAAACUCAUGAUCUCAGUUGAUCCGCCCACCUCGGCCUCCCACAUUCAGACUGUACAAAAUCCUGAGGUGAAUGGCAAGAUGGCUGAAUAAGAACAGCUCCAGUCUGCAGCUCCCAGUGAGAUCAAUGCAGAAGGCCUUCAGUACAUCUUUAUUAAUCUGACUGCCUGGUUGCAGUUACAUUUGAGAAUAAGACUGAGAUCAAAUUCCACGUUUAGAGUGAGAAAUGACUGCAGUUGAAGACUUGGUUGCAAGAGUCUAAGAAGACACCUCAGGGAGAGAGACAGGAUCCAAAACAAGAUUGCUGGCUGAGGAAUGGGACAAGUCACCAGCUCAGAAGUCUCAGGACCAGCGACAUCAAGAGCAGGAAGUGGCCAGUGCCUCAACUUCACUCCCCUCUCCCUCCUGGAACAGGCCCUCCAUCACCGUAGAUAAUUCAUGUCACUGAAUGGAACAUAGGUGAGAAGUGGGAGAAAGAACGAAAAUCUGGAGGUUGGAGGAUAAACAAACCCACAUCCUUGUGGAUGAAGAAGGAUACCAAAAACUCAUUUUCCUGGAAGGAGCAAUUUUUGAAAUCAGCUACACUGAGGGCACUUUCGUGGCUGCCAGACUAAAGAUUAAUGGAGCACAACUCCAAAGGGUGCCAACAGGAAGCAACUAUACCCCCAAACAUGUCAUCACCCCCUGCCUAUUUCAACCUGUCCUGGAGCUAGUUUAAUGUGCCAGCUCCCAUGGUUUUUCCAGUCAUUCUGCGGUAGAAGGAGACCGCAGUAGGCUGCAGAUUGAGUGAAGGUCUUUUCCAUGUGAAUUUGUCCUGCAUCUGGGAUAAAGGUAUAAUGAUUACCUAAAGCAUGUUCUGUUCAUGGAAGAUCACUGGAACACAAAAGACCAAGCUCACAGCAUAUUCAAGACAUCUGCUCGUAUUCCACUGGCCAAAGAAAGUGAUGUGGCCCAGCCUAAAGUCAGCUCAUGCCUCUUGGAACACAUGGGGCAGCUGUGUGCACCUCAGAUGGAGCAGCCAAAAAGAGCUCAGAGCUUUGGUCCUGACUUUGCAGCCCAAGUGAGAUCAUGGGUUUUGUACUCCAGGCACUGUGCUAGGCACCAGGACUAUAAUACAACUUGUGAUCUGUAGAGGAGUCAGACAAUUAUCCAGGCAUCCCAAAGAAAUGUCAAUUGCAAGCCUGGAUCCCUUUUUCCCUGGAGGCUGUUCUGAAGAUGGCACCCUACCUGCUCACCUUUUAGUGUACCUGGGCACCCAUGCCUCCAUAUGGUGACCCUCAAAUCAUACUGUAUGAAGAGCAGCUGUUUUGUCAACUAUUUUUUAAUGAGAUUUUUUUUGCUUUGGUUUAAAAAAUAGCAUAUAUUUGCGUUAGAAAAUUAGAAAUACAGAAGAAACAGAAAUAUAAAAGAAUUACCUAUAACAUGCAAAAAUGACUAGUACAAAUGUUUUUGUUUUUUUACAGUAUGUGAACAUAUUGUAUGUUUAUAUUAAUAUCCAUAGUAUUUAUUUUUGCCUACAUGUUUUACUUAACAUAUGUAGUAAGCAUUUCCCAUGUUAGUCAAAUUAUUUGUGGACAUUAUUUUUAAUGACUAUUAAUGUUAUUACUCUACAGCUUGCCGAAUAAGUCUCCUAUUAUAUGUCAUUUUGGGUCCUAGCAACAUUUUUGUGUUUAAAUCCUUGUAGCAGUUUUGACUGAUUUCCUUAAGAUAGAGUCCAAGAAGAGAAAUAAUUUGCUUGUUUGUUUAUCAUUUGGUACUUUCUUUUAUGGUAAUGUCCUUGGGGCUGAUAAUUCAGAACCAUGAAUAGAUAUGAUUCUUGUCUUUGAGGAGAUUGUAGCCUUGUGCUAGGUUAAAGAAUAGGCACGUUUUAAAGUUCUCGAUACACAUUUUCAAAGUGCUUUUCAAAAAUUUGUAUCAAUUCAUCCUUCUACUAUAAGGGAAAAUCUGUUCUGGGUUGUUUUUCUGGUAUAUCUUCCUAUUAAGAACCUGUUCUCCCUCCUGCUUUGUGACUCACAUGGAGUUGCCACUGCAUGCUAUCAUCUCCAUCCCUUAGAGCAACCUAUUAGAGAACUUACUCUCUGGAGUCCCAAAAGAGAAACAACAGCAACAACUCAGCAAUUCAUCUGGGGUCAGCGUGUUACCCAGUCUGGGCCAUUGGAGAUUUUUUUAAAGGGAAGUUUCUCCUAUUUUCUUCAAAAUUCUGAGCUGUGAAGAGGACCACUAGAAAGUUCAAUCUAUUUAUGAUUUUUUAAAAAACUGUUAUUAUAUAUAUUUAAGUGUAUGUCAUGUUUCCACACAUAUAUACAUAGUGAAAUGAUCACUGUAAUCAAGCUAAUUAGAAUAUCCCCCAUCUCGCAUAGUCACCUUUGUGUGUGAAAAGGGUUCAGUGCUUCCCUCUCCACUCUUCAUCUCCCCUUUAAAAAAGCAGAGAUGAAUGGAGAGGGAAAGGUUGAACAAUGGUUAUGUGGUGGGACUGCUGGGAUUCACCUGAGAGUUAAAACCAGCUAGUUCUACCCGUAUGUUUUUCACUUAGAUAAGCCAACAAAUUAAUUUCUUUUCCUCUAUUCUUCUUGUCUUCUUUCCUGCCUCUUUACCUGUCUCCCUUCCUUCCUCUCUUCCCACUCUCUUUCUUUCCUUAUUUAAAUUGGUUUGAAUUGAGUUUCUGACACUAAUGGAGAGUCCUUAUUGUGCCUUCACGUUAUUUUUAUCAAACCAGAAAAUGUUAAUGACAUAAAACAAUUACUGUUUGGACAAGGAAAAUUGUAUUUCUUUCCUUGAAAUUUCUACACACAUACACAUUUGUGCUUGUUAGUGAGGCUAAGCAUUUUCCCCCUUAUUUGUGAAUUAUAUAUUCAAUGUUUUGAUCCAUUUAUCAAAUAAAUUCCUUAGUUUAAAAAAUAUUUGCAGGUGCGGUUAUUAUGGAAAGCAGCAUGAAGUUUCCUCUAAAUAUUAAAAAUAGAAUCACCACAUGACUCAGCAAUCCCUCCUCUCUAUAUAUUUUUAAAGGAAAUGAAAUCAGCACUUCAUGGAACUAUCUCCACUCCCGGCUGGGCGCAGUGGCUCACGCCUGUAAUCCCAGCACUUUGGAAGGCCAAGGC